rnacentral:rRNA from 1 species
AACGAACGCUGGCGGCAGGCCUAACACAUGCAAGUCGAACGCAUCGCAAGAUGAGUGGCGCACGGGUGAGUAACACGUGGGAAUGUGCCCUUUGGUUCGGAAUAACGUCUGGAAACGGACGCUAAUACCGGAUGUCCCCUGCGGGGGAAAGAUUUAUCGCCAAAGGAGCAGCCCGCGUCUGAUUAGGUAGUUGGUGGGGUAAAGGCCUACCAAGCCGACGAUCAGUAGCUGGUCUGAGAGGAUGAUCAGCCACACUGGGACUGAGACACGGCCCAGACUCCUACGGGAGGCAGCAGUGGGGAAUAUUGGACAAUGGGCGCAAGCCUGAUCCAGCCAUGCCGCGUGAGUGAUGAAGGCCUUCGGGUUGUAAAGCUCUUUCGCACGUGACGAUGAUGACGGUAACGUGAGAAGAAGCCCCGGCUAACUUCGUGCCAGCCGCCGCAGUAACAC